GAUGAACGCUGGCGGCGUGCCUAAUACAUGCAAGUCGAGCGAACAGACGAGGAGCUUGCUCCUCUGACGUUAGCGGCGGACGGGUGAGUAACACGUGGAUAACCUACCUAUAAGACUGGGAUAACUUCGGGAAACCGGAGCUAAUACCGGAUAAUAUAUUGAACCGCAUGGUUCAAUAGUGAAAGACGGUUUUGCUGUCACUUAUAGAUGGAUCCGCGCCGCAUUAGCUAGUUGGUAAGGUAACGGCUUACCAAGGCAACGAUGCGUAGCCGACCUGAGAGGGUGAGCGGCCACACUGGAACUGAGACACGGUCCAGACUCCUACGGGAGGCAGCAGUAGGGAAUCUUCCGCAAUGGGCGAAAGACUGACGGAGCAACGCCGCGUGAGUGAUGAAGGUCUUCGGAUCGUAAAACUCUGUUAUUAGGGAAGAACAAAUGUGUAAGUAACUAUGCACGUCUUGACGGUACCUAAUCAGAAAGCCACGGCUAACUACGUG
rnacentral:rRNA from 1 species